UUUGUAUAUGAUAGCAGAACUCGGGAACUCUGGAUCUAAUUCCCUUCAUCCCAAAUAAGGUAUGUUUUCUAUAAUAAGUUCUCUAUGCACAUUAGUUACUUUGACAUAAUAUACACAUUAGUGAUUCAUCUUUAGUUGUUCAUACCGGAAGCAUAUAGAGAUCAGCCUUAAUAUCCAUAAACUGUAUUGUUUGUAGCUAGAUGCCUUAGUAGGCAAGUGGAACCUUGGUGUCCUCACCUGGCUUCGAUUCCAGCGAGCUUGUCCAAGGCCGUGAUUGCCUACAUACCACAGAGGUAGACUCACCUUCCACGAGGGUUACUUGGCAAGGCUUGAUGCAUGUAGAUUACAUUCAGAGUUUUAGACUGCAUGUAAACAUAAGAUAUAGAGUGGAGCCCUCAAAAUUAAGACUAAUUUAUCCUUCAACGCCGGCCACUUCCAAUCAAUCAAUGGAGAAUAUAUAGACGUGCAGAGGAUGUAAAGAAGACUAAUCAAAGCGAAAGCACAAAAUAUAGAGACAUCUGGCAGCAACACAUCCAUACACUUUAGAAUAUGUACAUAAGCUUAGGCCACAAACCAAUCACUAAAGUCUCGAAAAGAAAUCGCAAAAUAAUGAAAAAAAUAAUGUGCAUAUGCAGUUAUACACACACACCAGGAACGCAAAGCACAUAUGCAUCACUAAUUGUCCUGCACAUCACGCAAUAUCCAGGCCUCCAGGAAAACUACACGGACGUGGAGAUCUAGACAAAGAAACAAUGAGGCGACCUCAUCUUCCUGCUCGUACCUUGGGCGACUAAGGCACUACUUGGAUUGGGAUCUGGAUCUCCUUCAGCACCGCGAAAGUAAAUCUUGCAGCCGUCGCUCUCGCCCUUCUCAUCUAUUAUGGUUCGGGAUCAGAUUUUCCAACCAAGCUGACUCAAAAUAAAAUUGUUAAGAUAUUUGAAGAUAAAGAGGAAGGAGUGCCCCCACCUCUGGUGCACAUGUGAUGCUGGGGAGGACGCCAGGGGUGGCACGCAUGGUUCAUGGAGGUUGGGUAAAGGGCGAGGUCUACGCUUGGGCCAAGCUUAUCCAUGCCGGCGACCAUGCUGCAUCUUGCGGUUUAGGUCGGCAACAAAAGCAAGAUGGAGGGAUCCAUAAAUAGAGGGAAGAAGGGAAGAACUAGAAGGACUGCAGUAGAGAUUUAUUGAUUGGGGGGAGAUGAAGGGAACCAUGGGUGGAAGGUGGAGGAAGAGGCGAAAGACCAAGGGGCCGAACAGGGCUAACGCUUCGGGAGAAAAGUUGGGAGAUGCAACGAUAUUUUGUACGUGGGUUUCAAGUUCAUUUACGGCUGCAUCUGUGGCAGGGAACAUACGCUAGCUGCUGGUGCAUGGGAAGGCCAGGAAAGUGAUGACAUGGCCUCGUGGGACCAGUUUUUGCUGAGAUGGCAUAGUUGCU
rnacentral:lncRNA from 1 species